AGAGUUUGAUCAUGGCUCAGAACGAACGCUGGCGGCGUGCUUAACACAUGCAAGUCGAACGAGAAAGCUUCCUUCGGGAAGCGAGUAGAGUGGCGCACGGGUGAGUAACGCGUAGGUAAUCUACCCUUAUAUUUGGGAUAACAUCGGGAAACUGGUGCUAAUACCGGAUACCCUUCAUUUCUGCCGGGUUAUGGAGGAAUGGUGGCCUCUCCAUGAAAGCUACCGUAUAGGGAUGAGCCUGCGUACCAUUAGCUAGUAGGCGGGGUAACGGCCCACCUAGGCGACGAUGGUUAGCGGGUCUGAGAGGAUGAUCCGCCACACUGGAACUGGAACACGGACCAGACUCCUACGGGAGGCAGCAGUGAGGAAUAUUGCGCAAUGGGGGAAACCCUGACGCAGCGACGCCGCGUGAGUGAGGAAGGUUUUCGGAUCGUAAAGCUCUGUCAGAAGGGAAGAAGUGUUGCAUGGUUAAUACCCAUGUAAUUUGACGGUACCUUCAGAGGAAGCACCGGCUAACUCCGUGCCAGCAGCCGCGGUAAUACGGAGGGUGCAAGCGUUGUUCGGAAUUACUGGGCGUAAAGGGCGCGUAGGCGGCCCGAUAAGUCAGAUGUGAAAGUCCAUGGCUCAACCGUGGAAGUGCAUUUGAAGCUGUCAGGCUUGAGUAUCGGAGGGGAGUGUGGAAUUCCCGGUGUAGAGGUGAAAUUCGUAGAGAUCGGGAGGAACACCGGUGGCGAAGGCGACACUCUGGACGAAUACUGACGCUGAGGCGCGAAAGCGUGGGGAGCAAACAGGAUUAGAUACCCUGGUAGUCCACGCCGUAAACGAUGUGAACUAGAGGUAGGGGGUGUUGAUCCCUCCUGUCUCGCAGCUAACGCAUUAAGUUCACCGCCUGGGGAGUACGGUCGCAAGAUUAAACUCAAGGAAUUGACGGGGGCCCCACA
rnacentral:rRNA from 1 species